ensembl:lncRNA
CCCUCAGCCCGAGCUGAGGACACUCCGCGAUCCUUUACUCGCUCUAGGCUUCAGGCUCGGCGGAGCCACUGGGCAGCCUAGCGGGGUUGGGGGCAUCAGACACAGACCCCAACCGUCUAGUAGAACAACCCCUGGCCGGCUUGGCAAGCGGUUUGUGUUUUAUCUCCGCCUCUUUACACCCACGCCUGUUCCUAAAUCCCGCGUCAUAAACCCACCCCUUCCCAUUUACCGGUGAUCCUCAUCUCGCCCUCGGAGUCCACGGAGGUCCUCCCCUACACUGUGCCCUACAGCAGAUGAGCCGAAUCCUCGCUUCUGGACUGCCCACUCUCGGCCACUUAAGGGUUGAGGACAAUGAGACAGGCUUCGAGACGAUCUCCAACCUUCUCCAAGCAGUGGUUUAUUUUCCAGAUUCUUCUGCUGAAAUGCUUCAGGAAGCUCACCUCUAGCCCCAUUUUACUGCCUUGAGCAUGAAGCCCACCCCAUUCUGGAAGUCAUUAGUGCAAAAGCUACGCAUCGAAAAUCAUGCUGUGGGACUCAAAUCAAGAUGCAGGAAUGGAAGGAUGUGGAACGCACCUCCUCCCCAUGAGCUCAUCAAAAAUACAUCUACAUGUGGAACAAUUCUCACCAAAAACUAACUGGAGACUAGGAGAAAGGUUUGUACAAACAAAGGAAUAAGGAACAUUCACAUGGCAUCUGGUAUGAAGGAAAAGAAGUAAUCAUGUAAGGACCUGUUCCUCUGGGAGGUGAUUCAGCAAAAAAAAAAAAAAAAAAAGGAUUACACUGGUGGAGACCCUCUCUCAGGAGUGAAUGAUUUGAGCAACAUGUUGGGUGCCCUAGCCUUUGGGGUCUGAGAAAAAGAAGAUGAGACCACUUGAUUGGAGGGCUGGUAGGACUAAUUGGAGGGCUGUGGAAAGCCUGUACUCCACUCAUGUGGAGUACACACAUGAUUCUUUGCUCCAGAAGUAUGGCAGAUGGAUGGAUUGAAAUUGCAUGGGUAUCUGUCUGGUUUCCUAUGACUAUCCUGGGUGUGCCCCAUUUGAGCCAAGCAAAUGCUCCAGCCCUACUUUUCAGCACCGUAGUAUCACAGUAGAUCAAGGACCACCACAAUCAAGAAAAAAACUUGGCCAUGAGACUUCAAGGUGGCUCAAACCCUAAGCUGCAUCUUAGCCAGGAGUGGGGAGCCAUUACUGGCAAUUGUAUAAGUGGCAUACCAGAAGGUGACCAGAUCUUUGAUGGCUACUAGAUUGCCACAGUCAGUGCCUGAAACCUUGCUGAAUAUCUAAAACAGACAUUUGUGCUCCACCACUGCCCCUUCAGAGUGAAGGUGCUGGUGCUUGGGCAGUGAAGAACACACCUUAAAGGAAACUGAGCCAACUCAAAAUUGAACUUCAGGACUUCUGCUUCAAAACCCUGGGACUUGACUCCACUGACUCCACCCCUGUUGGGGCAGUAAUGGCCACCAUUUCACACUUGGCUCAAAUUUAGCCACUCCAUCUCCAACCCUAUCUUCUACUGAGGUGAUAGCUGCCAGCCUUACCUGAGGGCACAUGUGACUUCUGUCCAUGUCAAAUCCAGCUCUCCCGACAAAACCACUGAGCACCUGCAGACAAUAUAGGGAUGUUCCCAACAGGAAAUCCCAUCAAUAUUGACAUAGGUAACUGUUUCAUCUAUAUUCAUAGAGACAGAAAGAGUUUAAGCAAAAUGAAAAGAAAGUGAAAAACUGAUUUCAACUGAUAAUUCCUAAUAAAAAAGAACUAAUAAAAAAGAAAUAGAUAAUUUACCAGAAAAAGAAUUCAAAGCAUUAGAGACAAGAAUGCUAAUUGAAUUAGGGAAAAGAAGAGGUAAACACAGUGAGAAUUUUAAUAAGGAACUAAAAAAUACAUAAAAAAAGAAUGAGUCAAAACAUAAGAAUAUAGUAAAUAAAACAAAAGACACAGUAGAAGGAAUGAAUAGCAGAGUACGUGACACAGAAAAAUACACACAUUAUCUGGGAUUUAGAAUUUUGGAAAUCAAACAGAAUAGCAAAAAGAAAAGCAAUUUUAAAAAUGGUAACAGUUUAAAGGAUAUUUGAGAUAACAGGAAGUGAACCAACAUUUGCAUUAUAGGGGUUCUAAAAAGAUAGAGAAAGAAAAGUGAUUUUAAAAUUAAUUUAAUGAAGUUAUGGCUGAAAUCUCUUAAAACCUGAAGAGGGAAACAGAUACCCAGGUACAGGAAGUACAGAGAAUCCCAAACAAAAUGACCUGAGACAGGCACAGCCCACACUAAU